GCCUGGGUGGCUCAGUCGGUUAAGCGUCUGACUUUAGAUCAGGUCAUGAUUUCAGUUUGUGGGUUUGAGCCCCACGUCGGGCU
rnacentral:tRNA from 1 species